GGACAGCAGAGACUGGAGGGCUACGGUCCAAGGGGUAGCAAAGAAUUGGACAUGACUGAGCAUGCGUGCACAUCUGUUUUUAUGCCAAUGCAGAUAAGAUUUUGAUAUGAAGAGAUAUAAAAGAUAAUUCCUGACACAGUAAAAAGACGGCCAUCUGCAAACCGGGAAGCGAGCCCUUACCAGACAUCAAAACUGCAGGUACUUUCCAGCCUCCAUACUGUGAGAAAUAAAUGUUAUUUAAGCCAUCCAGUCUAUGAUAAUUUAUAUAGUGGCCUGAAAUGACUAAGAUAUAUUUGAAGCAUACCAUUUAGCGAGGCAGUUUGAGACACAGUGAGAUUAGAGAAAC
ensembl:lncRNA